CAAACGUUUGAGCUAAUGGCGAAGGCAACUGCAGAAACUACGAAACCUUCCGAAAAGAUUUUAGAAAAAAGAAACAGCAUCAGUCCUGUGUGGCAGUUUUUUGGAGUGACAGAAAGUGAUCCGCAAGUCCCCAGGAGCUUUUUGGUGACCGUCCAGACUGAAAAUGGCAAGGUGGAAGUUGAGGAGUUUGGCGAGACAGUGCUGUCCUGCAAGUACCAGGUGGAGAAAGACCCCAACCCCAGAGUGGAAUGGAAGAAGAUCCGAAACCGGGACGUCUCCUUUGUGUACUACGAAGGGAAGAUUGUGGGGGGUUUCCAGGGUCGCGCGGUGAUGGAGGGAGCAAGUAUCCGGAUCAAGAAAGCCAUGCUGCUGGAUUCGGGGGAGUACCGCUGCGAGGUGUCGGCCCGACAGGACAGCCGCCCACUCGGAGAGGCCACUGUCUCCCUGACUGUGCUGGUGCCCCCUGACGUGCCCUCCUGUGGGAUCCCCAGCUCUGUUCUGACUGGGACGGUGGUGGAGCUGACAUGCCGGGACAGGCAGGGUACCCCACCCUCACUAUACCGCUGGUACAAGAACGGGAUCGCCCUCCCAAACACCCCUGCACAGGACCCCCUUUUCGCCAACUCUUCCUACACACUGAACAGCAGCUCUGGGACCCUGCAGUUCAACACAGUGUCGAAGGGAGACGCCGGGCAGUACCAGUGUGAGGCCUCCAAUGGAGUGGGGGAGCCCCAGCGAUGCACUGCCAAGUUCAUGCAGAUUGAUGACAUGAAUGUGUCGGGGAUCGUGGCUGCUGUGGUGGUGGUGUCCCUGGUGGUCUCGAUGUGUGGGCUGGGGGUCGUCUUCGCACACCGCCACGGAUACUUCAACAAGGAACAUGGGCGGUAAGUAUUCCAGAUUUCUUUGUUCCAGAGCUGCUUUGAUUUUAAAGAUGUGAUGAAUACACUAACAGCAUUGUGAGAAGACCUUGUGGGUGGGGUAGGUGUUUCUGGGUUUUCAUAUUCAUGCGUCGUCUGUGUUCCGGCUUGGUCUAACAUCUAAUUCAUGUUGCCACGGUUUUCAACAGUCUGUCUUUUGGGGGGAGUUUGAUCUUCCUUCAGUGGUACCAUGAAGAUAUUUCCUGUUUGGAUAUUAUGUGAGCCGUUCCAGCUUUUAUUGUCAGCUUAAUUACACACACGUUCUAUACAAGUUCACAGUAAUACCUGGAAUGACUCAAGGUACUGCGCAAUAGGAUUCUUAAACAAGUCCUUGGAUACCAUAAAAAUGCAUGUCGCUGCAGUGGAAAGCUCGCAGGAUUCAAUAAAAUCGUGACCUGUGGAAAUCCUGCAGUAAGAUUAGCUAACCCCCAGCAUGCUGUAACCUGUGGUAAUGCUGGUAGUGCCCUCCUCAAAGUGCUUUUCAAAUGUUUUCAACUCCUUGGAAAUCUCUACAUCGCAGAUCAUUUUGGAUCCCCCAAUACGAAGACAUUGUUCAGAUCAACAACCAAAACCUCAAAACAGUUGAAACAAAUGGAUCAAGUGAGUACUGUACCACUCCUCAAGAUUAUUCCCAGGAUUUCAAACAUACCCAGUCCUUCAUGCUGUGAGGAGCCAAAAGGAGCCCUUUCAAAGAGCCUCUGUGAGGACAACCCAGGACUGUCACUACCUUCCCCCAUAUUCCCAGGACUGAGACCACUACCCUCCUCCCUGCACCAAUCCUGAUCUGUGAAUCAUGAACUGGACCACUACCCUCCUCCCUGCACCAAUCCUGAUCUGUGAACCAUGAACUGGACCACUACCCUCCUCCCUGCACCAAUCCUGAUCUGUGAAUCAUGAACUGGACCACUACCCUCCUCCCUGCACCAAUCCUGAUUUGUGAAUCAUGAACUGGACCACUACCCUCCUCCCUGCACCAAACCUUAUCUGUGAAUCAUGAACUGGACUGAACAAGGGAGUCCCCUGGCCUUGCUGUCAGGCUACAGACAUGUGAAUGUUUCUUUAUUCUCACCAUUGUAUUCCAACAGGAGUUUCCUUGGGAGGACUCCUGUGGCAGCAGUGUGCUACUGUUUUUAUAUUGUAUAACUAUGUUGCCUGGUAUCUCCAUCUUCAAUUCCCUUUUUCCUACUUAACGCCUAGGUUACACUGCCAUCUAGUGGUACGAAGGUGCACACACAACAAUUACCUUGAAUCCACCUGAAGAUCUUUUUGAUAGCGACAGGCUGAAGAUUUAACAAGAAAUGAAAAUGUUUCAAAUAUUUAUGGAUUACCUGUAAGAUAAGGUUAUGAGCUAGCAGCCUGUUUUCAAUAAUUCUGAAGUAUUCUUGGCAAUCCUAUCUCUGUCAAGGCUGGUUCAUACUUCAAUUGUGUAACAGUUGCUGGUGGCGAUUUCCCCAGUUGAUUUUUUCUACACUGUAGCUGGUCGUGUCGCAUGUGAUCACAGCCAACACCGGCUACACAUUUUCAUCCCCCCCCCCCCCCCCCCAUUCAUUUUACCUCUCUGCUGUAAAAAAAACAUCAGGAAUGCCUAGGCCCAGGACAAAAGUCCCAUUCCACAUGGGAUGUGGCCUUAAAUAUGAGAAUGAAUCUGUUCCAGAGAUUGGAGAGUGGUUACUGAAUUACCUUUUUGUUAUUCUUGGAGACCACUACAAGUGGAAUAGAAACUCAACUACAGCAUUGCAACAAAACUUAAUAGAACACAGUUAUGACUUUCUUUGUAUAUGACUACCUUUUUAUUGUUUUCUUAUUUUUACUAACUGAACCUUUUUAAUUUAAUUAAAUACUGUCUCCUCAGAUGUUUUAUUGGUUGACUGUAUCUGAAUGCUAGAGUCAAUCAAAGGUAUUGAGGUGUACCCCCUAAAUGUACCAGUGUAUUUCAAUUAGGAACCUGUUCGUGUCAUCAGAGUAACUGCUUUUGCACAGACUUUUUUGUGAAAUGUAAAUUAAACUUUUUGGUUUUCUUAUAUAAUGUUGAGUAUUGAAGUACAGAUCCCAAUAAAUGAAGCUUCUUGAUGGUUAAUCCAAUAUACCUCUCCACACGACAAUUGCUGUUAUUGAUGCACAUUAAAAGUUAACCCUAUGAAGGACAACCAUAAAGUUUGCAGUUCUCAUCUGUUAAGAUGUAAUGGGUCUGUUUUAAUGAAAUACCAAAUCCUUUAAGCCUGCUUCCUGGCAGACCUCUGCUGGGACUCUUAUCUAAAAGGUUGAGGAACUCUGGUUUAUAGCAUUCAAACAGACCCAAUAUUCUUACUAGUACAACCAAUCAGCAACCCUUGAUUUUAGCAUGUGGAUCUGAAAUGGCACUGGUGAAGCUUGAAAAACGAGCUGUAUGACCUGAUUUUCCUACAAAAUGUCUAGCUUUAAAAAAAAAAAAUCUAAACAGAAGCAAAGCAAAACAUUGAAAGACAUUCUUUACUGUUUUCCAACUGUAGUAAAACCAUGAUCGUCAGGCAUUACUUUGAUGGGAGAUCUUGUCAGUACAGUGGUCUGCAUGACAGUCAACUAGGUAAUGUCCUCUAAGCUGGGUUCUAUUGCUUACUUGGAGACAACUAAACGUGUCUCAUUUGUGACAGCAUUUUGACAUUCGUUACUAUUGUGAUGUCAUGAUCAAUAUGCUACCCCUGCUCCUUUAAGUUUAGUCUGAAUAGGGUGCAUGCAUUUGCUUCAUGUGGAAGAGAGGCAGAGUCUGAUCAGUCACUCCAUUCUGUAUUUUUACCAGUAGUGGAAUGAGGAACAGUUGCUGUCUUUUUUAAAAAAAAAAAAAAAAUAGGUACUGUAUUUGCAGGUGGUGCAUAGAGUGAAAUCACAAUUACACAUUCUCUGAUUAAUAAUGCCUCUAUAUUUAUGUAUUUUUUUUUUUUUUACUU